GGCAGUAUGGCCGAGUGGUUAAGGCGGUAGACUGUGCGUUAACCAAUUAGAAUCUGCAAAACCUCUUAGCUAAUUGCUUUCACUAGUGAAUCCUCAAUCAGGAAGUUAUCUACUCCCCUAGGGGACCUGCGUUCGAACCGCAGUGCUGUCG
rfam:Aspergillus versicolor CBS 583.65 unplaced genomic scaffold ASPVEscaffold_16, whole genome shotgun sequence.